UAUUGGACAAUGGGCGAAAGCCUGAUCCAGCAAUACCGCGUGUGUGAAGAAGGCCUUCGGGUUGUAAAGCACUUUCAAUGGGGAGGAAAACCUGCCGGUCAAUACCCGGCAGCUUGACAUUACCUUUAGAAGAAGCACCGGCUAACUCCGUGCCAGCAGCCGCGGUAAUACGGAGGGUGCGAGCGCUAAUCGGAAUUACUGGGCGUAAAGCGUGCGUAGGCGGUUCGUUAAGUCAGAUGUGAAAGCCCUGGGCUCAACCUGGGAACGGCAUUUGAAACUGGCGGACUAGAGUUUAGUAGAGGGGAGUGGAAUUUCAGGUGUAGCGGUGAAAUGCGUAGAUAUCUGAAGGAACACCAGUGGCGAAGGCGACUCCCUGGACUAGAACUGACGCUGAGUACGAAA
rnacentral:rRNA from 1 species